ACGGCUCAUUAUUAACACCCGUAAUCUACCCAGUUUUCGUAUCCAAAACGGAUAUCUGCGUUAAUUUUGGAGCUAAUACGUGCACCAAAGCACCGCCAGCAAUGGUAGUGCGCACAUAUUAGAUCAAGACCUAUUGGGGCAACCCACUUGAUGACUCUGAAUAUUUUUGCGGAUCGCAUGGUCUUGUACCGGCGACGUACUGGUCGAGCGGGUGCCCUAUCAACUAUUGAUGGAAGUCUAUGUGUCUUCCAUGGUUGUAACGGGUAACGGAGAAUAAGGGUUCGACUCCGGAGAGCUAGCCUUAGAAACGGCUAUCACAUCCAAGGAAGGCAGCAGGCGCGUAAAUUACCCACUCUCAAUUCGAGGAGGUAGUGACUAUCAAUAACGAGACAGAUCUCUUUGAGGUCUGUCAUUGAAAUGAGCACAACUUAAAGACUUUAACGAAGUCUAUGGGAGGGCAAGUCUGGUGCCAGCAGCCGCGGUAAUUCCAGCUCCCAACGUGUAUAUCGUCAUUGCUGCGGUUAAAAAGCUCGUAGUUGGAUCUAAGUUCAUGACUGUAGUUCUCCAUGUGAGAUACUGCUAGUCUGGACUGUUUCGCCGGUUUUCCGUAGCUUCGGCUGCGGUGACUGGUGUUGUAACUUUGAUUAAAUCAAUGUGAUUAAAACAGGCGUUUGCUUGAAUGCUUUAUCAUGGAAUAAUAGAAUAUGACUUCGGUCCAUUCUGUUGGUCUUGGGAUUGAAGUAAUGAUUAAAAGGAACAACUCGGGGGCAUCCGUAUCGCUGCGUGAGAGGUGAAAUUCUUGGACCGCAGCGAGACGACCUAUUGCGAA
rnacentral:rRNA from 1 species